GUCUCUAAGCAAUGGAUGUCUUGGCUCCUCACACGAUGAAGAACGUGGCAUAAUGUGUUAAGUAACCGGAGUUGCAAACAUCAUGACAGGUUAAUCUUUGAAUGCAAAU
rnacentral:rRNA from 1 species